AUUGAACGCUGGCGGCAGGCCUAACACAUGCAAGUCGAGCGGAUGAAGGGAGCUUGCUCCUGGAUUCAGCGGCGGACGGGUGAGUAAUGCCUAGGAACCUGCCUGGUAGUGGGGGAUAACGUCCGGACACGGGCGCUAAUACCGCAUACGUCCUGAGGGAGAAAGUGGGGGAUCUUCGGACCUCACGCUAUCAGAUGAGCCUAGGUCGGAUUAGCUAGUUGGUGGGGUAAAGGCCUACCAAGGCGACGAUCCGUAGCUGGUCUGAGAGGAUGAUCAGUCACACUGGAACUGAGACACGGUCCAGACUCCUACGGGAGGCAGCAGUGGGGAAUAUUGGACAAUGGGCGCAAGCCUGAUCCAGCCAUGCCGCGUGUGUGAAGAAGGUCUUCGGAUUGUAAAGCACUUUAGGUUGGGAAGAAGAGCAGUAAGUUAAUACCUUGCUGUUUUGACGUUACCAAAAGAAUAAGCACCGGCUAACUUCGUG
rnacentral:rRNA from 1 species